UCUUACGUCACAAACAAAAGUUUGAAUUGUUAAGAUAUUAAUAAACAGAUCCAAGUUCUUUACCCUUUAUCAGUAUCUUGUUAAAAUAUUCUUCAAGUAGGUCUUUAAGCAUGAUUGAACAGCAAUGAGACUAUAAAAUAUACAGUUAAUUUUAGUAUCCCGAAUAGAUCUAUUCUUAUAAGAAAAUUUUCAAUCGCAGUUAAUAAAUUAUAAAAAGAAAAAAGAAUAAUUUUUUUCGAUUUUAUUGUUCUUUAGUCGAAGAAUCUGUUAUUGUUUUAUAAAAUCGGGAAAAGUAAAUGAAUAGAAAUGAAAAUAAAAUUUGCUCCGAAUCGAAGCGGACUCGCCAAUAACCUACUGUAAAACAGAAAUAGCAGUUCAACCAGAGCUACGUCCUUCAACGACCUCUAAUGACAACUGAACCAACUAUUCCUUAAUUACGUCUUGCGUGGCAACACACGAAACGUUGUCUCGAGUCGCUCACUUGCAAAUUAAAUAGUUGUUAUUCGGUUUAAAAAUAAAUCCAUAAAGGAAAUUAAAAAUAAAGUGAGAUCGUUUUCAAACUGUUACAGACUUCUUUUUGCAUCGAUAUUUUUAAAACUUAAUAGAAAUUCUUCGACA